AUUGAACGCUGGCGGCAGGCCUAACACAUGCAAGUCGAACGGUAACAGGAAGAAGCUUGCUUCUUUGCUGACGAGUGGCGGACGGGUGAGUAAUGUCUGGGAAACUGCCUGAUGGAGGGGGAUAACUACUGGAAACGGUAGCUAAUACCGCAUAACGUCGCAAGACCAAAGAGGGGGACCUUCGGGCCUCUUGCCAUCGGAUGUGCCCAGACGGGAUUAGCUAGUAGGUGGGGUAACGGCUCACCUAGGCGACGAUCCCUAGCUGGUCUGAGAGGAUGACCAGCCACACUGGAACUGAGACACGGUCCAGACUCCUACGGGAGGCAGCAGUGGGGAAUAUUGCACAAUGGGCGCAAGCCUGAUGCAGCCAUGCCGCGUGUAUGAAAAAGGCCUUCGGGUUGUAAAGUACUUUCAGCGGGGAGGAAGGGAGUAAAGUUAAUACCUUUGCUCAUUGACGUUACCCGCAGAAGAAGCACCGGCUAACUCCGUG
rnacentral:rRNA from 1 species